ensembl:lncRNA
CGCGCAUCAGCAAAGCUCGCGACCAGCUCUCCGCUGGUCGUUAUUCGGGCGCUGAAGGUGUGAGGGGUCCGGACUGAGUUGAAGACACCCAGCCCUAGGUACCAGCUGGGGAUGUUCUGUCACUUCAAGGAUACUGAAAGCCGGAAGAGUCACUUGAGGGAGUUUCCGCUAUCAUUGCCUCUGGAAGGUUUUGCGACCUGGCUCGCAGGUGUUGGCGACCCCCUUCUUUUAGACUGUCUGCUCCCUUUCCCAAAUUUCAAAAGCCCGUGGUUGUAGCUUCACAAAUAAGGAGUCGCUGAAGCCAGGCUUGGCCCAGACUGGACUCUUCCCAUCCCAGAAUCCAGCAAGUCCUUAGUUUCAGGUCCACAAACACGCAAUACUAAAGCCGCUAUCCCAGACUUCAGUUAGCUCUUCCUUUUAGCUUCACCAGUGAGCAGUCCCUAGAGGCAGGCACAACACGACUGUCCUGUCCCCUCCCCAGACGUCAGUUAAGUCCUGCGUUGUACCUCCUGGAUAUCCUUAGAGCCUGGCAGCUUCCCUCGAGGCUUCAGGGUCCCAGUGCAGAUCUAAUUAUCUACUCUGAUUCCUCCACGGCAUUGUCUACACAGGAAACCCUAAAUAAAUAUCGUGAAUUCAUAAAAGCUGAAAUAGAGCAGGGAGACAGCCCAAAUAGAUUUAAGUUUUUAAAUGAAAAGUCAACUCCUUGCCAUGGCCUGUGACACCAGGUUCUACUGAUCCAGGCUCCUCUGUGACUCCAGCCUGGUCCUUGCCACCCAGUCCUCAUGCUUCAGAUAUACUCGGUAGAAAGACUAUGUCGAGUACAUAGCAGAUACCUGGGACCCAUUUUGCUGAUUUCAAAGUUCCUUUGGAAAGCAGACUCUGACUCCAGCUCCACCAAGAGUUCCCGUGACUACUUCAGACAUGAGUUCAGCAAUCUCUCGGGAUCUCCAGCUCCAUGUCUUCAAUCCUGUCUAUGAGACCUGUGUGACUUCUCCCUAUGUGAAGAGGAGCCCCAUCUGCCCUUCUGAUGUGGAACAACAUGCAAAGAGUCGUGAUUUAUACAAGGGAACAGAAAAGGAUGAAGGCACAGGAGCCUGCCUCCCAGGUCAGCACUUGCUGAGAUCUGAGUUCAGUUGUCUGUGAUCUCUCCAAAAGCAGAAAUAAACCACCUGAUUGUGGCUAUAGCUGUGACACCCCAAGACAGCAGCUUGUUCUAUGAGUUUCAGGUCUUGAAACAAAACACCCAGAAGCACUCUUGGGAAGGAACUGCGUUUCCUUGAAGGUCAUCCUAAGUGUGCAUGGUGUGUGCAAACACUUGAAAAGGUGAUGGAGGAGCUCUUGGGUGUGCACAAAGCCAAGUGCUGCUCUCUGAAGGAAAAAAAUGCAAUCACCAGAAUGAACUCCCUUGGCUUAUUUAAAUGCUUCAUAUAUACAGCUUUUAGGCACAUGUCUGUGUCUGUCCCAUGACAGCUAUCCUUUACCCUAACCUCAGUGGGAACUGGAAUGCUGAAGAAUUGCUUUUAAUAACAGAUGAAGACUAGAAGUGUUUUAAAACCCUCAGCGUUGAGACACAAGCAGUCAUGUGUGCUCAGACACAAAAGAGAUGGAAUGGCUUGACUCUGCUAAGAGAAAGACUUGGCCAAUGUGCUCCUAAGAGAUGGAGAAGAGGAGGCCUGCCCUUGGGGUGGUCAGAUUUGCUUACAUGGAUCCAGCCUAGGGUGAGCAGCCCCAGUUGUUCCUGCAAACAGAAUGGUCUUCCUCACAUUUGUGGAGAAUAAUAAUCAGGCUCUGUGUUCUGCUCAGGGAUGAUCACAUGAUCAAAUGUAUUGU